rfam:Macaca mulatta chromosome 10, whole genome shotgun sequence.
UUUUUAGCAUAAGUAUGUCUUACGCAAUGUUCAAGGCAUACUUAUGCUAAAA